CCCUUAGAUGUUCUGGGCCGCACGCGCGCUACACUGACUGGUUCAUCGAGUAUACAACCUUGACUGAUAGGUCUGGGUAAUCUUCUCAAAGCCAGUCGUGCUGGGGAUAGAUUAUUGUAAUUUUUAAUCUUCAACGAGGAAUUCCUAGUAAACGCGAGUCAUCAACUCGCAUUGAUUACGUCCCUGCCCUUUGUACACACCGCCCGUCGCUCCUACCGAUUGGGUGUGCUGGUGAAAUGUUCGGAUCGGCCGUUUGUCGCGGUUUCCGCGUCAUGUGGCUGAGAAGUUCAUUAAACCCUCCCACUUAGAGGAAGGAGAAGUCGUAACA
rnacentral:rRNA from 1 species